GACGAACGCUGGCGGCGUGCUUAACACAUGCAAGUCGAGCGGUAAGGCCCUUUCGGGGGUACGACGAGCGGCGAACGGGUGAGUAACACGUGGGUGACCUGCCCUCAGCUCUGGGAGUAAGCCUGGGAAACCGGGUACUAAUACCGGAUAUGACUCCAUGACGCAUGUUGUGGGGUGGAAAGCCUUGUGCGGCUGAGGAUGGGCCCGCGGCCUAUCAGCUUGUUGGUGGGGUGAUGGCCUACCAAGGCGACGACGGGUAGCCGGCCUGAGAGGGCGACCGGCCACACUGGGACUGAGACACGGCCCAGACUCCUACGGGAGGCAGCAGUGGGGAAUCUUGCGCAAUGGGCGAAAGCCUGACGCAGCGACGCCGCGUGAGGGAUGAC
rnacentral:rRNA from 1 species